rnacentral:misc_RNA from 1 species
UGAAGCAAAUAUGCUAUUGCAGAAGAUGGUGGAUUUUGAUGUUUUUCUAGACCAUGGAAGUUUUGACAGGUUCCAGAAGGCAGAUGAACGAUAUCUGGACAGUCAGAAAAUUGCAGAUACUCUUGAUGAAAGUGCUAAAAGUUUUUCUCUACCCAACAGGGUGGUGUACAAUAUAGCUAUUGCAGGGCUUUGCAAGUCUGAAAAGGUUGAUGAUGCAAGAAAAUUUUUCUCAGGCUUGUUGCUAAGAGGCUUCAAUCCAGAUAAUUUCACAUACUGCACCCUGAUUCAUGGCUUUUCAGCUUCUGGUAAUGUGAAUGCAGCUUUCAUCUUGAGGGAUGAGAUGAUGAAAAGGGGUCUUACUCCAAACAUAGUUACG